AGUGAACGCUGGCGGUAGGCCUAACACAUGCAAGUCGAACGGUAGCACAGUAAGAGCUUGCUCUUACGGGUGGCGAGUGGCGGACGGGUGAGGAAUACAUCGGAAUCUACUUUUUCGUGGGGGAUAACGUAGGGAAACUUACGCUAAUACCGCAUACGACCUACGGGUGAAAGCAGGGGAUCUUCGGACCUUGCGCGAUUGAAUGAGCCGAUGUCGGAUUGGCUAGUUGGCGGGGUAAAGGCCCACCAAGGCGACGAUCCGUAGCUGGUCUGAGAGGAUGAUCAGCCACACUGGAACUGAGACACGGUCCAGACUCCUACGGGAGGCGGCAGUGGGGAAUAUUGGACAAUGAGCGCAAGCCUGAUCCAGCCAUACCGCGUGGGUGAAGAAGGCCUUCGGGUUGUAAAGCCCUUUUGUUGGGAAAGAAGAGCAGCAGGUUAAUACCCCGCUGUUCUGACGGUACCCAAAGAAUAAGCACCGGCUAACUUCGUG
rnacentral:rRNA from 1 species